UAUGAGGUGGAUUUCCCAAAUGUGGUAUGCCAAAAAGCUACUCUGAUCAAAAGAAUGGAAGAGUUGUCAGCACUGGUGGGAGAUAUUGGAGGGGAAGGAUUAGGAGUCAUUACCUUUUCUGGAGGGGAUUAUAAAUUACUAGGAGUGGAUUUAUCAGAGCUGUCUGAGCUGGAGAGAGCCUUGGAGGAAGCAGGACUGGACAAUGAAAUUCCCACCCUCUUCAUAGCAGAGGUGGUACUCACCUACAUGGAAAACAGCAGGUCAGAUGCCUUGAUUCAGUGGGCAGCAGAGCAUUUCUCUCAGGCAUGCUUUCUGCUGUAUGAGCAGAUGCACCCAGAGGACCCCUUUGGACGUGUCAUGCAGCAGCAUUUUAGCCAGCUGAACUCUGCACUUUAUUCUUUGGCACGGUACCCGGAUUGUGAGGCACAGCAGAGGCGCUUUUUUGAAAAGGGCUGGACUGAGUGCAGCGUCAUGGAUAUGAAUGAGUUUUUCACCUGUUGUACUCCAGAAGAUGAGCAGCAAAGAGUGCAGGCCCUGGAGCCUUUUGAUGAAUAUGAGGAGUGGCAUCUGAAAUGUUCUCAUUACUUUGUCUUGACCGCAUCAAAGGGGAUGGAACCUUCCUGGACUCCGUUGUUAUCCAAUAUGACAGUUCCUCAUCGUGAUGGUCCUGUCAGGAUGGCUGGGAGUAUCACUGCAGCAGUGUGUGCAAUGCAGUCUGAAAUUUCUGGCCUGAGACGUUAUGGUCACGACUCUGUUCUUAUAAAACCCAAUGUGAUUCUCACCACUGGAGGCUUUGGGGAGGAGGAUGGACAGCACUGCCGUAUGAGAAAUUUUCAUGUGCUAAUUAAGCAUGGAGGCUACUGGAAAGCUGCCUGUGUGAAAAAGGAAAAUCCUGAUAAAAGAUGGGAUGAGCGUUUGUACCAUACUGUGUCAUGUCUCUCAAACAGUCUGGCCCUGGUGGUAGGAGGACGAACAUCCCCAUCAAGUGCAGGCUUGGGAAUGUUGUGGCUAAAGUUCCCUGAAACCUGUAAUGCCUCGGACCCAGAUGACAUUACAGUGGAGCUUGUAAGUCUGCAGCCUGGUGCUGAACCAGCUUCUUUGCGUUGGAGACACAGUACAACUGAAGUAAUAUUCAAAGGUGAGAAGUACUUGUUUCUGUAUGGUGGCCGCUCUGCUGUGGAGCCUGUGCUAGGGGACUGGUAUUUCCUGCACACUGAAGAACUUUCCUGCACUGUGAUUCCUGUUGAGGGUCCAGUACCAGAAAGCCGUCACUCUCACAGUGCCUGUAGCUGGAAAGGAGGAGUGCUAAUUGCAGGAGGUCUGGGAGCAGCUGAGCAGCCCUUAGGUUCAGUUUUCUUUCUGAGGGAGCUUGAACAUGGCUUUCAGUGGCAGACAGUAGAGACACACCCUCCUCUCAUCCCGAGGUAUUCACAUACUGCACAUGUGCAUGAUGGAAAACUUCUGCUUGUUGGUGGAGUGUGGUUUCACUCAUCCUCUGUGCCAGGCAUCACUGUCAUUGACUUAAUGACUGGUCUCUGCUUGGACUAUACAAUUAACGUGGAGCAUCUGGAGUGGCCAUUAAUGCUACAUAAUCACAGUAGUGUCUUUCUGCCAAAUGAGAAGGAGUUGUUACUUAUUGGCGGUGGUGGGAACUGCUUCUCCUUUGGGACACACCUGAACCCAGAGCCUGUCUCAUUGAGCGUCAGCAACAUCCUGACCAGCCACUGACUGGGACCAAACAGGACUGAACCAUGCUGCUGCACUGUCUCUCUGCAGCUGAUGGGAGGUAUGACAAAGUCAAGAGGGAUGCAGUGUAAACCGUCUGGGCCUUCACAUCUGUCGUGGUUUGACCCCAGCCAGCACCUAAGCACCACGCAGCCGCUUCCCCCUCCCCUCUCCCAGUGGGAUGGGGAGGAGGAAAAAAAAAAGCAGUACAGGCAUCCAAGGGCCAGCCCACGUUCGAGAAGUAGCAUGAGGAUAUCUGUGUUGUCAGUGGAUGAAUCAAGCAUCUUCAGGAGGCCAAGGCCCGGCAUCAAAGUUAAUGAUUCCCGAGACAUCAGAGAUGGACCGACUGUAUGAGCGGGUGCCUGAUGCGGCCACUGACCCCAGAGGCGUGGCACGGGAGCUGCCACGGGAGAUGCUGGUGACAACAUCUAGUGUUAGACUGGGAGCAAGUGAGCAGCAUGCCAUGGUGCUUCUGAGGCGGCUGUCAUUGUGGAAGAGAGGGAUGAGCUGUGCACCAAAGGGCGACGGAGGAGAGGCGAGCAGAGCGCCAUAAGAAGAGCAACCGCUACACGUACUGAAGCCCUGCUUCCCGGGAAGUGGCCAGACAUCACCUGCUGAUGGGAAGUAGAGAAUAAAAUAUUUUGCUUUUCUUUGCUUUUGUGCACAACCUUUGCUUUUGCUUUAUUAAACUGUCCUUAUCUCUACCCAUGAGCCUUUCGUUAUAUUUUCUCUCCCCUGUCCAGUUGAGGAGGGGGAGUGAUAAAGCGGCUUUGGUGCGCACCUGGCAUCUAGCCAGGGUCAACCCACCACAGAGGGAAGAUGUGACUGGUGGCUAUAUGACUACUUUAUGGUUUGGUGUUUUGGUGGUGUGUUUUUUUUGUUUUUUUUUUUUAACUUUGAAGGCGCAAUGCAGGAUAUUAGAACCAGAGCUGACUCAAGCAAGGUGGUACGCAAGCCUCAACAACAUGGCAACCUGUAAAUGGCAGAGGAAGGGUGACACACGUAGCCUCGGAGGGGUGAAGCAGCAUGUUGACAAGCAGUCUGAGAAGGUGCUGUGCAGGGUGCCUUUGAAAUUGGAUGAGCAUUUGAGGUGCCAUAAGCAAUGACAGCCAUAGCGUCUGACUCUGGAAUGAGCAGAGGGACGAGCUGUGUGCCAAAGGGUGACAGAGAAUGGACAAGCAGAGCACCGUGUGAAGCAAUGAGCAAAGCGGGAUAUCGGCACCGGAGCUGACUUGGGCAAGGUGCCGCAAGUGGGCUUGGAGGGGUGAAGCUGCAUGCUGAUGAGCGGUUCUAGAAUGUGAGGCUGUUGUCGGCCCGGUCGGUGUCUAAUAGCAAAGUAUUAUAUGGUGCCGCAAGUGAUGACGGCCGCAGCAUCCGACACUGGGAUUCCUGCAGAGCAGAUGAUGAAGAGGAACCUGGCAACUGCAGGAAUAUCCUGGUUCGCUGAUGUGUUUUUUGUUGAGGAUGGCUUCAGACCCCUGGCCCUCUGAAAGCUAAGUUGAGGGACCGGGGACCACUGCCCUACAGUGUGUAAUUUUGACCUCAGUUGGAAAGAAAUUUUCCAAAAUGGAAAUCUUUCUCAUUCAAAGAAGUUGCAUUUUAUGAACUUCCCAUCAGAGUGGAUCUUCAGAGAUGAUGUGCUUGGUAGCAGAAGUCGCCAGCAGCAAGACU